GCGGUUUUAGCUCAGUUGGGAGAGCGUCAGACUGAAGUCAACUUCAGUUCAGGAAAUCUGAAGGUCCAGUGUUCGAUCCACUGAAACCGCA
rnacentral:tRNA from 1 species